rnacentral:tRNA from 1 species
GACAAAGUGCCAGAGUGGUUAAUGGGUUAGACUUGAAUUUCUAUAUUCAGUCAUCUAAUGGCUUCGGCCGCGCAGGUUCGAUCCCUGUCUUUGUCG